CAGCCGCCACGGUAACACGGAGGGCGCGAGCGUUACCCGGAUUUACUGGGCGUAAAGGGCGUGUAGGCGGCCUGGGGCGUCCCAUGUGAAAGGCCACGGCUCAACCGUGGAGGAGCGUGGGAUACGCUCAGGCUAGAGGGUGGGAGAGGGUGGUGGAAUUCCCGGAGUAGCGGUGAAAUGCGCAGAUACCGGGAGGAACGCCGAUGGCGAAGGCAGCCACCUGGUCCACUUCUGACGCUGAGGCGCGAAAGCGUGGGGAGCAAACCGGAUUAGAUACCCGCGUAGUCCCUGUCUCUUAUAC
rnacentral:rRNA from 1 species